GAUGAACGCUGGCGGCGUGCCUAAUACAUGCAAGUCGAGCGAACGGACGAGAAGCUUGCUUCUCUGAUGCUAGCGGCGGACGGGUGAGUAACACGUGGAUAACCUACCUAUAAGACUGGGAUAACUUCGGGAAACCGUAGCUAAUACCGGAUAAUAUUUUGAACCGCAUGGUUCAAAAGUGAAAGACGGUCUUGCUGUCACUUAUAGAUGGAUCCGCGCUGCAUUAGCUAGUUGGUAAGGUAACGGCUUACCAAGGCAACGAUGCAUAGCCGACCUGAGAGGGUGAUCGGCCACACUGGAACUGAGACACGGUCCAGACUCCUACGGGAGGCAGCAGUAGGGAAUCUUCCGCAAUGGACGAAAGCCUGACGGGGCAACGCCGCGUGAGUGAUGAAGGUCUUCGGAUCGUAAAACUCUGUUAUUAGGGAAGAACAUAUGUGUAAGUAACUGUGCACAUCUUGACGGUACCUAAUCAGAAAGCCACGGCUAACUACGUG
rnacentral:rRNA from 1 species